rnacentral:rRNA from 1 species
AAGUCGGAAUUGCUAGUAAUCGCGGAUCAGCAUGCCGCGGUGAAUACGUUCUCGGGCCUUGUACACACCGCCCGUCACACCAUGGGAGUCGGUAACACCCGAAGUCUGUAGCCUGACGCAAGAGGGCGCAGCCGAAGGUGGGGAUUGAUGACUGGGGUGAAGUCGUAACAAGGUACC